GAUGAAGAACGUAGCGAAAUGCGAUAAGUAAUGUGAAUUGCAGAAUUCAGUGAAUCAUCGAAUCUUUGAACGCACAUUGCGCCCCUUGGUAUUCCGAGGGGCAUGCCUGUUCGAGCGUCAUUUAAACCAAUCUAGCUUGCUAGGUCUUGGGCUUUCGCCUCUGGGCGGGCCUCAAAAUCAGUGGCGGUGCUGCCGGGCUUUAAGCGUAGUAAUCUUUCUCGCUAUAGGGUCCUGGUAGAGGCUUGCCAACAACUAUAAAUCUUUCAAAGGUUGACCUCGGAUCAGGUAGGGAUACCCGCUGAACUUAAGCAUAUCAAUAAGCGGAGA
rnacentral:misc_RNA from 1 species